rnacentral:lncRNA from 1 species
GGGUGACGUCCAAAGGGUGUGGCCCGACUGGCCCUCCAAGCUAUGGAGUAUCCAUAGUAACGCGUCAGCCGCCGACCUCGGGCCAUUUUCCCAAGGCUCCAGGAUCUCUAGAUGUCCCGUCGUCUCAAGGGCGUGUAGAACGCGGGUUUUGGGGGAGGAAUGAACAAAAAUCGACUGGGAGUUUUUUCAAAACACGUACAUAUGCCCUGCCACCCACCCCGCUCUCCUAGGUGCGUCAGAACUGCUGGGACAUCUGUCACGUGAAGGGUCACGUGUACUUGGGGAAGAACUCCCCCGGUGAUUCUGACACUCUUGCCCUACGCCUCAGCCAUUGAGAACUAUUGGUAUGGAGGGCCUGUAAUUUAUCAAGGCGCGGCCUCAGAUCUGUCUGCCUCGCAGAUACCUUCCUCACCCGGGUCAGAAUGACUUGCCUCAGGCUCCUGCCAAAGAGUUUGCACCACUCGUUUCUUCCCUGUAAUUACUUGUUUGCGUAUUUGUCUCCCCACUGGGCUGCAGCUUCUUGGGUAGUGGCUCUGUUUUAUUCAUCUGUCCUCUUCCCUUCCAAAUGCUUGGCAAGGAAAAGUGCCCUUUAAAAUAAAUCGACUUGAAUUGGGAGUGGUGGUAGGGAGGCUGUCAAUGAGAAUGAAUUCAGGGUGAAACUAGGUAGGACAAUGUCCCAGGAUUAGUUUGGGGUUGAGCUGGGGAGCUCUUGGUGUAUGGGGGGGUCCUAUUGUGACUAUGGUGGAAUAGCCACGAUACUGAGUGACAUUGGGCGAGUGAGGUGGGGGAGAGACUAG